UACGGAGGGGGCUAGCGUUGUUCGGAAUUACUGGGCGUAAAGCGCACGUAGGCGGCUUUGUAAGUUAGAGGUGAAAGCCCAGGACUUAACCCUGGAAUUGCCUUUAAGACUGCAUCGCUAGAAUUGUGGAGAGGUAAGUGGAAUUCCGAGUGUAGAGGUGAAAUUCGUAGAUAUUCGGAAGAACACCAGUGGCGAAGGCGACUUACUGGACACAUAUUGACGCUGAGGUGCGAAAGCGUGGGGAGCAAACAGG
rnacentral:rRNA from 1 species